rnacentral:rRNA from 1 species
AUUGAACGCUGGCGGCAGGCCUAACACAUGCAAGUUGAGCGAGCGGCGGACGGGUGAGUAAUGCCUGGGAAUUGCCCAGUCGAGGGGGCUAACAGUUGGAAACGACUGCUAAUACCCCAUACGAUUGGAUUGCCCCGGUGGGGUUAGCUAGUUGGUGGGGUAAUGGCUCACCAAGGCGACGAUCCCUAGCGGGUCUGAGAGGAUGACCGGCACAACUGGAACGGGGAAACGGCCCGAACUCCUACGGGAGGAAGAAGUGGGGAAUAUUGCAAAAGGGGGGAAGCCCGAAGGAGGCCAUGCGGCGUGUGUGAAGAAGGCCUUCGGGUUGUAAAGUACUUUCAGCGAGGAGGCGUUACUCGCAGAAGAAGCAACGGCUAACUCCGUGCCAGCAGCCGCGGUAAUUC